CUUGGCCCGCACUCAUCCGGCCCAUGAAAAUGUGAAGCAAUUAGGUUUCGAAUUUGAAAUAACGAAUAUCAACUAUUAAAUUCUUUUUCAUCUGCGCCAGGGUCGGUUUCAUUAUAUUUUUUAUCGUCCGACUGGAAAAUGCAAAAAUAUACUUCUAUAUGCGUUUGCUCUAACACCAUUUUAUCUAUCAGCGUUAGAUGGAUCUCAAUACCAAACGGGGUCCUCAGAAGAACUGUCAAAAUAUUGUAAAUACCACUUCAGAGUAU
rnacentral:lncRNA from 1 species